rnacentral:rRNA from 1 species
AUUGAACGCUGGCGGCAUGCUUUACACAUGCAAGUCGAACGGUAACAGGCCUUCGGGCGCUGACGAGUGGCGAACGGGUGAGUAAUGCAUCGGAACGUGCCCAGUCGUGGGGGAUAACUAUCCGAAAGGAUAGCUAAUACCGCAUACGAUCUGCGGAUGAAAGCGGGGGACCUUCGGGCCUCGCGCGAUUGGAGCGGCCGAUGUCAGAUUAGGCAGUUGGCGGGGUAAAGGCUCACCAAGCCAACGAUCUGUAGCUGGUCUGAGAGGACGACCAGCCACACUGGGACUGAGACACGGCCCAGACUCCUACGGGAGGCAGCAGUGGGGAAUUUUGGACAAUGGGCGCAAGCCUGAUCCAGCAAUGCCGCGUGCAGGAAGAAGGCCUUCGGGUUGUAAACUGCUUUUGUACGGAACGAAACGGCUCUGGUUAAUACCUGGGGCUAAUGACGGUACCGUAAGAAUAAGCACCGGCUAACUACGUGCCAGCCGCCGCUGUAAUAC